rnacentral:rRNA from 1 species
CAUGCAGUCGAACGAAGUAGCAAUACUUAGUGGCAGACGGGUGAGUAACAUGUGGGUAUCUGCCCUUUGGCCUGGAAUAACACGAGGAAACUUGUGCUAAUACCGGAUAAGUCUUUACGGAGAAAGCUUUAUGCACCAUUGGAUGAGCCUGCACUUGAUUAGUUUGUUGGUGGGGUAAUGGCCUACCAAGACUGUGAUCAAUAGCUGAUUUGAGAGGAUGAUCAGCCACAUUGGGACUGAGACACGGCCCAAACUCCUACGGGAGGCAGCAGUGGGGAAUCUUGCACAAUGGAGGAAACUCUGAUGCAGCGAUGCCGCGUGAGUGAAGAAGGCCUUUGGGUUGUAAAGCUCUUUCGUCGGGGAAGAAAAUGACUGUACCCGAAUAAGAAGGUCCGGCUAACUUCGUGCCAGCAGCCGCGGUAAUACGAAGGGACCUAGCGUAGUUCGGAAUUACUGGGCUUAAAGAGUUCGUAGGUGGUUGAAAAAGUUAGUGGUGAAAUCCCAGAGCUUAACUCUGGAACUGCCAUUAAAACUUUUCAGCUAGAGUAUGAUAGAGGAAAGCAGAAUUUCUAGUGUUGAGGUGAAAUUCGUAGAUAUUAGAAAGAAUACCAAUUGCGAAGGCAGCUUUCUGGAUCAUUACUGACACUGAGGAACGAAAGCAUGGGUAGCGAAGAGGAUUAGAUACCCUCGUAGUCCAUGCCGUAAACGAUGUGUGUUAGACGUUGGAAAUUUAUUUUCAGUGUCGCAGGAAACCGAUAAACACACCGCCUGGGGAGUACGACCGCAAGGUUAAAACUCAAAUGAAUUGACGGGGACCCGCACAAGUAGCGGAGCGUGUGGUU